rnacentral:rRNA from 1 species
UACGAAGGGGGGCUAGCGUUGUUCGGAAUCACUGGGCGUAAAGGGCGCGUAGGCGGCUUGAUAAGUCGGGGGGUGAAAGCCUGUGGCUCAACCACAGAAUUGCCUUCGAUACUGUCGAGCUUGAGACCGGAAGAGGUAAGUGGAACUGCGAGUGUAGAGGUGAAAUUCGUAGAUAUUCGCAAGAACACCAGUGGCGAAGGCGGCUUACUGGUCCGGUUCUGACGCUGAGGUGCGAAAGCGUGGGGAGCAAACAGG